AGUGAACGCUGGCGGUAGGCCUAACACAUGCAAGUCGAACGGCAGCACAGUAAGAGCUUGCUCUUACGGGUGGCGAGUGGCGGACGGGUGAGGAAUACAUCGGAAUCUACUUUUUCGUGGGGGAUAACGUAGGGAAACUUACGCUAAUACCGCAUACGACCUACGGGUGAAAGCAGGGGAUCUUCGGACCUUGCGCGAUUGAAUGAGCCGAUGUCGGAUUAGCUAGUUGGCGGGGUAAAGGCCCACCAAGGCGACGAUCCGUAGCUGGUCUGAGAGGAUGAUCAGCCACACUGGAACUGAGACACGGUCCAGACUCCUACGGGAGGCAGCAGUGGGGAAUAUUGGACAAUGGGCGCAAGCCUGAUCCAGCCAUACCGCGUUGGUGAAGAAGGCCUUCGUGUUGUAAAGCCCUUUUGUUGUGAAAGAAAAGCAGCAGGUUAAUACCCCGCUGUUCUGACGGUACCCAAAUAAUAAGCACCGGCUAACUUCGUG
rnacentral:rRNA from 1 species